AAGCCAGACUCCUACGGGAGGCAGCAGUGGGGGAUAUUGCACAAUGGGGGGAACCCUGAUGCAGCGACGCCGCGUGGGUGAAGGAGCGUUUCGGCGCGUAAAGCCCUAUCGGCAGGGAAGAAGGAGGACGGUACCUGACUAAGAAGCCCCGGCUAACUACGUGCCAGCAGCCGCGGUAAUACGUAGGGGGCAAGCGUUAUCCGGAUUUACUGGGUGUAAAGGGGGCGCAGACGGCAGCGCAAGCCAGGAGUGAAAGCCCGGGGCCCAACCCCGGGACUGCUCUUGGAACUGCGCGGCUGGAGUGCAGGAGGGGCAGGCGGAAUUCCUGGUGUAGCGGUGAAAUGCGUAGAUAUCAGGAGGAACACCGGUGGCGAAGGCGGCCUGCUGGACUGCGACUGACGUUGAGGCCCGAAAGCGUGGGGAGCAAACAGGAUUAGAUACCCUUGUA
rnacentral:rRNA from 1 species